AAACUUUCAACAACGGAUCUCUUGGCUCCAGCAUCGAUGAAGAACGCAGCGAAAUCUCGAUAUGUAAUGUGAAUUGCAGAAUUCAGUGAAUCAUCGAAUCUUUGAACGCACAUGGCGCCUUCCAGUAUCCUGGGAGGCAUGCCUGUCCGAGC
rnacentral:rRNA from 1 species